rnacentral:rRNA from 1 species
AGCAGCCGCGGUAAUUCCAGCUCCAAUAGCGUAUAUUAAAGUUGUUGCAGUUAAAAAGCUCGUAGUUGAAUUUCGGGAUCAAUUUGCUGGUCGUGCCUUCGGUACGCACUGGUAUUAUUGGUUUCUCCUUUCUGAUGAAUCGCGAUGUCAUUAAUUUGGUGUCGUGGGGAAUCAGGACCGUUACUUUGAAAAAAUUAGAGUGUUUAAAGCAGGCUCACGCUUGAAUACAUUAGCAUGGAAUAAUGAAAUAGGACGUUUGAUUCUAUUUUAUUGGUUUCUAGGAUCGACGUAAUGAUUAAUAGGGAUAGUUGGGGGCAUUAGUAUUCAAUUGUCAGAGGUGAAAUUCUUGGAUUUAUUGAAGACUAACUACUGCGAAAGCAUUUGCCAAGGAUGUUUUCAUUAAUCAAGAACGAAAGUUAGGGGAUCGAAGACGAUCAGAUACCGUCGUAGUCUUAACCAUAAACUAUGCCGACUAGGGAUCGGAUGAUGUUAAUUUUUAAUGACUCAUUCGGCGCCG